ensembl:lncRNA novel transcript
UCUUCCGCGGCCGCGGUGGGAAUGGAAACAUCUGCCCCACGUGCAGGAAGCCGGGUGGUGGCCACGACAGCGCGCCACUCCGCAGCGUAACCUCGCAGAUCCCCUGCGUGUGUCCUCGCAAGACUAGCUCACCGAAAUGGCCGCGUCCAGUCAAGGAAACUUUGAGGGAGAUAUUGAGUCAGUGGACCUUGCAGAAUUUGCUAAGCAGCAGCCGUGGUGGCGUAAGCUGUUUGGGCCAGAAUCUGGACUCUCAGCCGAAAAGUAUAGCGUGGCAACCCACCUGUUCAUUGGAGGUGUCACUGGAUGGUGCACGGGUUUUAUAUUCCAGAAGGUUGGAAAGUUGGCUGCAACAGCUGUGGGAGGUGGAUUUUUUCUCCUUCAGCUUGCAAACCAUUCUGGGUACAUCAAAGUUGAUUGGCAACGAGUGGAGAAGGACAUGAAGAAAGCCAAAGAGCAGCUGAAGAUCCCUAAGAGCACUCAGAUACCUAACCAGGUCAGGAGCAAAGCUGAGGAGGUGGUGUCAUUUGUGAAGAAAAAUGUUCUAGUGACUGGGGGAUUUUUCGGAGGCUUUCUGCUUGGCAUGGCAUCCUAAAGAAGAUACCUCAUUUUCAUUGUUCCUGGUUUUUUCCAGUCAGCAGCCUCUACACUCCAUCACAGGACAUUGAGUCCCUCCUCCUCUUCUCCCAUGCCUUCCUCCCUGCUGUGGCAAAUCCGAGUGGCUUCUAUAAGCAUCCGUUGGUACAAGUUAAUGUGGCACCAUGAGCCUGACUGGCUUCUAUAAGCAUCUGUUGGCACAAGUUAACGUGGCACCAUGAGCUUGAUGGCAGCAGAAGAGACAAUAGUCCUUAGCUCUUCUUCCAGUACGCCCCCUACUUAGUCAGUCUGUAGGUCAUCAAGAAGGUCCCUCUACCCCUAUGCAAGACACUUACAAGAACACAUUGCAAGAUAGCUGACCGUGGAGGAUGAGUGGAUCCUGAAAUGUUGUCCCGAACUGUUGAUUUGGAAAAGAAAUAAGCACAUAGAUAACCUUAUUGUGUGCUGCAUGGAAAGGAACUGAAUACAAUUGCCUUUAAGCAUUAAAAAAAAAGGAUGAAAAAUUGGGGUGUCACAUUUGCAAAAUGGAUGGACAAAUGUGGUCAGGGCAGAUCAAGGAAGUACCUUCCACUCUGAGAGUCAGAAUGCUCUGCAUGUGUGCUAAGGCAUUAAAUGAAGAUUGAAAGUCA